rnacentral:rRNA from 1 species
UACGGGGGGAGCAAGGCGUUGUCCGGAAUCAUUGGGCGUAAAGAGCGUGUAGGCGGCCCGAUAAGUCCGCUGUGAAAGUCCAGGGCUCAACCCUGGAAUGCCGGUGGAUACUGUCGGGCUCGAAUCCGGAAGAGGUGAGUGGAAUUCCUGGUGUAGCGGUGGAAUGCGCAGAUAUCAGGAGGAACACCAAUAGCGAAGGCAGCUCGCUGGGACGGUACUGACGCUAAGGCGCGAAAGCGUGGGGAGCGAACAGG